AGCAGCCAAUGAGAAUGCGAGUCAGGUGGUGCGAGCGCCCGCCGCGCGCAGGAGGACUUGCCUCUGAUUUGAACACCAAAGAGAGAAAAUUUUUUCUCCCAAUUUGAACACAGGCGUCAAGGUGGCUAGAGCAAUUUUGUUCCCAUCACCCGAAGAAAAUACCAGGACUUGUAGCCUUUCUAUGCCUAUAUGACAGAUCCAUGUACUCAGCAGCUGAAGUGCGCAAGGAAAUUAGGAAUUACUUAAAUUCACCCAAAAAUGUACUGUGUAUGUGCAAUUUUAGCAGCCUCUCUCUUCCUGCAACUUGCUAGUUACUUUGGUAUUACUCCAUGUGUUUGUAAUGACAACAUUUCGCAAGGGGCAAGAAUUUCCACUCUCCACUAUUUAUUUUACACACGUCACCCCCUUUCAUUUUCAACACAACCAGGCAACAUAGCAUUAUCUUAGUUUUACAAAAGUGGAAACUGAGGCCCUGGGAGGUAAAAUGCCUUCCUUAAGCAGGAGAGCUGACAACUACAGCAAGUUCUCCUGAUUCCAGGGCCUGUGGCCUCCUUCCACCCCACAGUAGGCAAGAAACCAAGUGACCAAGAAGAAGGCUUAUGAGCCAGGCCGCAGACAAAGAAGUGGCAAGUGCAGGCAGUUUACAGCAGCAUCGGAGAGUGAGGAGUUGGUGUGUAAUGAUUUGCCACGUGGACAGACAGGCUAAUACAAGGACAUUCUUUGUAUCUGAGCAUCCUUUAUGUAUAAAACAUAAAUGAGGCAGGUACAGAGCUGUUUCUUGGGAAAUCCCAUCCUGCCCCUGUGGGCUUCCUUCAUCUUCUCAUCUUAUCCUCACAAUGUUCACUCCUUGGAGUCUUGCCAUCCACCAGCCCUGCCUCAUUCAAUCCUUGAGCUAAUGGGAGCCCAGAAGGAUCCUGACAGUGCCAUGGGACAAGAAGGAAAAGAGAGAAGGACAAAGCCACAGCACUCCAGAGGACCCGAGCCCUCUCCCUGUGUGAGGCUCCCACGCAGCGCUCAGGCCCUGCUUCUCUUCUCACCACUCAGCCCCCCAGGGGCUCCGUCAUCAUGGGGAAAGAUGAAGGAGCCUUGCUAAGUUACAUGUUCUUCUCAAGUGCUGGCUUUCUGCAUGCCAUCCCUGUGAAACAGGAACUUUCUAGAAUGUGUCUCAUUAUCACUAAUGGUAAAGUGCUCAGAAAAACGUUCAGAAGGAGGGGGUGCUUGUUUUUGGGGCACGAGGGCAGGGAACAAGCUGCAAGGCUGUUCACUCCAGGCAAGAAACAAAACGCUGGAAAGAAACCAGAGGCUGGGUGAGUGAGGAAUCAGGAGGCUGGCGUGAGCUGAAGAGACAGAAGGACAGUGUGUGAGCAUACACGUGCACGUGUGUCUGCGUGUAUAUGAAUCUGUGUGUCUGUGCAUGUCUGCAUGUAUGUCUGUUUAUGUGUGUCUUUCUGUGUAUGUGAGUCUGUAUGUGUGGCUGUGUGUGUUUCCCUCUGUGUAUGUGUGUGUGUGUAUCUGUGUGUCUGUGUUUCUGUGUGUCUGUCUGUGUUUCUGCAUGUCUGUGUGUCUGCAUAUCUGUAUAUGUGUGUGUGUGUCUUCGUGUCUGUGUGUCUGUGCAUGUGUGGGGUAGAGGGGCACUGGAGUAGCGAUGGUAAUGGCUAAUGGGACAUGAUCAAGACUGAGAAAUGCUCUGAGCUGAAGGAUGGCUUCCAAAAUUUCCAAAAUGCUUGAAAAUUCGAACUGGAAUGCUGCUCCUGCCACCUGACUGCAUGCCUGACACCCGACGCCCCACAGCUCGGAGCCCCUGUCAGCAAGGGGCCCCACAGCAUCCCACAGAGAUUCCCACUCAGCUGCCUGUUUAGAGGAGUCCUCUGGUCUCUGCCAGUUUCCUGUGAGAUGACUGCACAUCCUGAGACCCCAUUGCUUCAUCAGCAACAUGGGAAUAAUAAUAUCAAUACCCGCUGCACAGGACUGGUGUGAAAAAUGAAUGCAUGAACACAGAAAAAAGCACAGUGCCAGACACACGGGAGGGGAUCACGUUUUUGUUUCUGAACACUGAGUGGGUGACAGCCAUGUGGCAAGAGGAGGAAAGCGUGGAGUUGGGGGCCAGACAGACUCCACAUCAAGACCUAGUUCUCACCUUUCUCACUGCUUGGCCUUGGGCAAGCCCCUGAAUCUCUCUGGACCUCAGUUCUAGCCUUCCUUCCACCAUGGCUCCAUUAUGAACCCCACCUCCAGCUCCAGGACUAAUCCACCUGCAAAACCCAGCCCCCUUGCCCAGGGAGAUAGGGAGAAGCCACCAGCCAGACGGGAGAACACAGGUCCAGGAUUGAACCCAUGACCUCAGCUCAGCUUGCAAUGUGAAGCAUGUGACUUCAUUUUGCAGGUCAGAAGAGUAAAGCUGUCCAUGCCGGCUGGACAUGAACAAGGAGGCUGCCAUCCUAUGCACAGCCCCCUACGUGGCUGGUAGCCAUCUUGUGAUCAUGUCAGAAGCCAGGCUUGGGGUGAUGUUGACUCUGAGGAUACCAGAGAGGCAGGUGGAGCCAAACCACGGGAUAUUGUGGAGCCACUGGAUCCAACCCCUCCUGAAGCCAACCCAUCUCUGGCCCUUUCAGUUAUAGCAGGUAAUUAAAGCCCUGUUGUGCAUAA